CUUUGGUUGAGGAUGUGAAGAAGGAAGAAGAAAAUAAGGAAUCGGCAGGGGAGGCUAGUGACAAUGAACCAAAUUCUGAAGCAGCAGAACAAAAAGAAAACUUAGGUGAUUUGAGUGAUGCACCGGUCGAAGAUGUGAAAGUGGAAGAAGAAAAUAAGGUUGUGGCUACUGAAAAGGAACCAGAAUCUGAAGCAGUAGAGCAAAAAGAAAGUUCGGUUGAUUCUAGUGAUGUUGUUGUCGAGGACGUGAAAAAAGAAGAAGAAAAUAGGGAACCGGAAGGUGUGG
rnacentral:misc_RNA from 1 species